AUGCACCUAGCGCGUACUCGCCUAUGGGGCGAUGUGCUCAUACCCCGUGACCCAGCUGCCACAUCCGCCCGAACGAGACACAAUUCGAAAUGUGAACCCCCUCCUGCAGACGCAGCCUCGUCGCCAGGAAUCAGAUCGACCCUCCAUCCACAUAGCACCCGGAUCUACAGAUUUCUUCUUGAUUUGACCAAUGGAUCUUGGUGCAGAGUUAUUCACAUGGAUCUCCGGUUCAGCUUCUGUUCCCAGCCGUUCACUCCCGAGGGCUUCCCAGAUGUGGGAUUGCUAGAGAAGGAGGAGGAUGAUAUGCUAGAGGAGGAGGAGGACGACGAGUGCAUUCCUCCAAAUCUCCAGAGGUAUUCACCUUCCUCAAGCCAAGAUGUUGAGAAACAUGGUGUUACCGAUUCUGGAUCUCGAGUUCCUGAGGCCACGCAAGAUUUUUCCUACGUCCCAGAUAUUGACAACAUCGACAGCCACAGAGAGCCCUCAUCUAAUCGCAACGCACUCCAGAUCCGUGGCCUAAUAGUUAACAUCUCCAAUAUACGUAGGUUCCGACCCCCACUAGUAUCGUGGCAUUGCUAG
rnacentral:rRNA from 1 species